rnacentral:rRNA from 1 species
GAUGAGCGCUGACAGAAUGCUUAACACAUGCAAGUCAACUUGAAUUUGGGUUUUUUAACUUAGAUUUGGGUGGCGGACGGGUGAGUAACGCGUAAAGAACUUGCCUCACAGCUAGGGACAACAUUUGGAAACGAAUGCUAAUACCUGAUAUUAUGAUUAUAAGGCAUCUUAGAAUUAUGAAAGCUAUAUGCGCUGUGAGAGAGCUUUGCGUCCCAUUAGCUAGUUGGAGAGGUAACGGCUCACCAAGGCGAUGAUGGGUAGCCGGCCUGAGAGGGUGAACGGCCACAAGGGGACUGAGACACGGCCCUUACUCCUACGGGAGGCAGCAGUGGGGAAUAUUGGACAAUGGACCAAGAGUCUGAUCCAGCAAUUCUGUGUGCACGAUGACGUUUUUCGGAAUGUAAAGUGCUUUCAGUUGGGAAGAAAAAAAUGACGGUACCAACAGAAGAAGUGACGGCUAAAUACGUG